rnacentral:rRNA from 1 species
AAAAUUGAUAACAUAAGGGAAAAUAAUGAUAUUACCUUAUUAUUAGUGUCGUCCAAAACUGGUGCCAGAAGACUCGGUAAGGCCAGAGACAUAAACGUUAAUCGUCUUAAUCAGGCGUAAAGGGUUUGUAGGCGGCUUUUAAUUUUACUUCUUUAUUUUUGAUUUUUUUUUUUUAUUAAAAUUUAUAAGUAAAGAAUAAAAGCUAGAAUCAAAUAGAGGAUAUAUUAAAUAAUGCUUAGAGUAGGUCUGAUAUCUUUAGAUACUAAGUAGAAUAUUAAAGGCGAAGGCUUUUUUCCAUUAAUGAUUGACGCUCAGAAACGAAGGUGAGGAUAGGAAAUAGGAUUAGAUACCCCAAAUACCCCUCUCUGUCAACGAUGAAGGGUAGUUAUUAGUAAUAAAUUAAUUAAUGACAAUGUUAACACGAUAACCAUUCCGCCUUGUGAGUACAACUGCAAAGUUGAAAACAAAAAAAUUAGUCGGUUUCGGAGCAAACGAAGUGAAGCAUGUUAUUUAAU